UCCGUAGAAGCGUGUCACGUGAGCCACGCAGCCCAGCCCACGUGCCUGCGCGCGUCGCGCUGAGCUCGUGCUCGCUGCGGAGGUGAACAUGGCCGAGGUGUCCGAUCGCACGUUACGGGUCGUCGCGCUGAUCUCAUUCGCCACGGGCUUCCUCGCGGGCUGGCAGGCCAACCGCGUGCGGAGGAGGUUUCUGGACUGGCGGAAGAAACGUCUGCAGGACAAACUGACGGAGACGCAGAAGAAGCUGGAUCUGGCGUAGGCCUCGAGGACUGGCGCGGGAGCGUGCCUCUCCGGUAUAAAGUGACGCGCGGGCGAGUCGGGCUCCCGUUUCCGCUCCCAGAGCUCUGACCCGGGAUGGGAAGGCACUCCGAGAAUGAGCCACCCGCCCCGUGUCCUGCUGGCAGGUCUGAACACUGGACGUCGGAGUGGAGCAGCUGCGAUACUUUAAACCUCCAGACGUUUCCACAGUGGUGGACGAUGGUGUAUGUUGAACAUGUGUGCGUGUUUAACAGGUUGUUGUCCGUAUCCUUGUUCUGUUACUGUUGGAAUAAAAGAGAAUACUUUGCUAAUCUUAA